UACGGAGGGUGCAAGCGUUAAUCGGAAUUACUGGGCGUAAAGGGUGCGUAGGCGGUUGUUUAAGUCUGUUGUGAAAUCCCCGGGCUCAACCUGGGAAUGGCAAUGGAUACUGGGCAGCUAGAGUGUGUCAGAGGAUGGUGGAAUUCCCGGUGUAGCGGCGAAAUGCGUAGAGAUCGGGAGGAACAUCAGUGGCGAAGGCGGCCAUCUGGGACAACACUGACGCUGAAGCACGAAAGCGUGGGGAGCAAACAGG
rnacentral:rRNA from 1 species